rnacentral:rRNA from 1 species
GACUCUAAGCGGUGGAUCACUCAGUUCUCGGGUAGAUGAAGAACGCAGCCAGCUGCGAGACUUGGUGUGAAUUGCAGGACACACUGAGCACUUACUCUUUGAACGCACAUUGCGGCCUCGGGCCUUCCCGUGGCUUCGUCUGUGUGAGGGUCG